ACGAACGCUGGCGGCAGGCCUAAAACAUGCAAGUCGAACGCUCUAGCAAUAGAGAGUGGCGCACGGGUGAGUAACACGUGGGAAUAUGCCUUUUGGUACGGAACAACUCCGGGAAACUGGAGCUAAUACCGUAUGGUCCCUUCGGGGUAAAGAUUUAUCGCCAAAAGAGUAGCCCGCGCUGGAUUAGCUAGUUGGUGAGGUAAUGGCUCACCAAGGCGACGAUCCAUAGCUGGUCUGAGAGGAUGAUCAGCCACACUGGGACUGAGACACGGCCCAGACUCCUACGGGAGGCAGCAGUUAGGAAUAUUGGACAAUGGGGGCAACCCUGAUCCAGCCAUGCCGCGUGAGUGAUGAAGGCCUUCGGGUUGUAAAGCUCUUUAGCCGACGAAUAUAAUGACUGUAGUCGGAGAAUAAGCCCCGGCUAACUUCGU
rnacentral:rRNA from 1 species